ensembl:lncRNA
CACAAUUUUUGCACAAUUAACCUGUUUCUGUUAUCUCGGGCUCUUAUAAAAGCUCACAGUAGCGUUGUCGUGGUGCAGAUCUCACAUCCGAAACAAGCACACGGCUAACAGAACUGAUCUGAAACGAGGGGUGUAAAUGCCGAGCUGUUCCGUCCUGACGUCACGUGUCAUGUUCCUUACACGAAGGUCAAAGGGUAUUACUGUCGUUCUAACAUUUUUUUUCUGCCGGAUAAAUAUACAAAUCAGGAAAGUGUUCAUUAAAUAAAGCAUUAAAUACGCUAGCUAGCGUUACAGCAAAGGGUUAUGUUCUGCUACAUUACUAGCUAGCUAAUGUCAUACAAUAAGGUAUUAAAUAAGCUAGCUAGCAUUGUAGCAAAGGGUUAUGUCCUGCUACAUUACUAGCUAAAUAUUGUCAUACAAUAAGUUAUUAAAUAAGUUAGCUAGCGUUGCAGGAAAGGGUUAUGUUCUGCUACAUUACUAGCUAGCUAAUGUCAUACAAUAAGUUAUUAAAUAAGCUAGCUAGCAUUGCAGGAAAGGGUUAUGUUCUGCUACAUUACUAGCUAGCUAAUGUCAUACAAUAAGUUAUUAAAUAAGCUAGCUAGCAUUGCAGCAAAGGGUUAUGUUCUGCUGCAUUACUAGCUAAUAUCUAUCAUACAAUAAGGUACUACAUACGGUAGCUAGCGUUGCAGAAAGGAAUUUGUAUUGUAUCAGUAUUAAUUGUAAUGUAGCGGCUGUUAAGUACGGCUUGACGUGUUGAAUAUUGAUUACCUGAAACACCUUUAACUAUGAAAAA